rnacentral:rRNA from 1 species
GAAUUUAAGCCCCAGUAAACGGCGGUGGUAACUAUAACCAUCCUAAGGUAGCGAAAUUCCUUGUCGGGUAAGUUCCGACCUGCACGAAUGGCGUAACGACUUCUCCGCUGUCUCGACCACGAGCUCGGUGAAAUUGCAGUACGAGUAAAGAUGCUCGUUUCGCGCAGCAGGACGGAAAGACCCCGGGACCUUUACUAUAGCUUGGUAUUGGUGUUCGGUACGGCUUGUGUAGGAUAGGUGGGAGACUGUGAACCGGUCACGCUAGUGGGCGGGGAGUCGUUGGUGAAAUACCACUCUGGCCGUGCUGACCAUCUAACCUCGGUCCGUGAUCCGGGCCAGGGACAGUGCCUGGUGGGUAGUUUAACUGGGGCGGUUGCCUCCUAAAGGGUAACGGAGGCGCUCAAAGGUUCCCUCAGCCUGGUCGGCAACCAGGUGGCGAGUGUAAGUGCACAAGGGGGCUUGACUGUGAGACUGACGGGUCGAGCAGGUACGAAAGUAGGAACUAGUGAUCCGGCGGUGGCUUGUGGAAGCGCCGUCGCUCAACGGAUAAAAGGUACCCCGGGGAUAACAGGCUGAUCCUGCCCAAGAGUCCAUAUCGACGGCAUGGUUUGGCACCUCGAUGUCGGCUCGUCGCAUCCUGGGGCUGGAGUCGGUCCCAAGGGUUGGGCUGUUCGCCCAUUAAAGCGGUACGCGAGCUGGGUUCAGAACGUCGUGAGACAGUUCGGUCCCUAUCCGCUGCGCGCGUAGGAGAAUUGAGAAGGGCUGUCCCUAGUACGAGAGGACCGGGACGGACGAACCUCUGGUGUGCCAGUUGUUCCGCCAGGAGCAUGGCUGGUUGGCUACGUUCGGGAGGGAUAACCGCUGAAAGCAUCUAAGCGGGAAGCCUGCUUCAAGAUAAGUUCUCCAUCCAGCCUGUGUGCUGGGUGAGGUCCCCCGCAGACGACGGGGUUGAUAGGCCGGACGUGGACGCCUCGUAAGGGGUGGAGCUGACCGGUACUAAUGGACCGACCGCCUACACCAU